GCCGCCGCCCCACCAUGUCCCGCCCCGCCGCCGCCCACUGCCCACGACCUCCCACUCCGUCAUGACCACGGCCACCACCCAGCGCCACCACAGGCACCCCCACAUCCACCGCGCACAACCCCGGCUAGAUCCGGCCAGGUUCUCCAUGCAACACAGCCAACGGGCUCUCCCGUCAUGAUGCCCCUCCCUAUUCCUCCUCCUGAAGAUGCCCGCCGGCGGCCGGAUCCGGCACCGAGCAGUGCUGAGCUCCUUGGCCUUUCCCUCGUGAUGGUGGCCGACACUGCCCCGCAAUCUUCUUCUCCGCGCACGACCGCCGCGAGGUGCGACCCCGACCAGGCGACCACAUCUUCACCGGCCAUGGACCCAUGGAUCCCGUGUCGGAUCUGAGUUCUUCCCUCCCCUGAGCAACACCGUGCCCACCCAAAAAUCACUGAGGACGAGCUCUGCCCUCCUCGUGGCGGUUUCCGUCGCGGCCUCCCGUGCAGCUCGGUCGCGGCCCUUGUGUAGCUUGGUCGAGGCCCUCGUGCAGCUCGAUCGCGGCCCUGUCUCAGUGCAGUUUGAUGGAGCUCCAGCUGCUCUUUGUCCAUGAAUUCUGCCGCGCCUGAUGUAGUACAUACCCCGCAUGGUGGUUCGUUCCCCCGCGCGAUGGUGUUCAUGAGACGUCGGCUUUUUUUUCUUUCAUUUUGUUGAAGUUCGCUGCCCAAUGCACUGCAAUAUGUCUAUUCUGUUCUUACAGUUCAGUUUACAGAUUUUUGGCAGGAGAGGGAAGAAACAUCGAAAAGCACCUGAUGCACUUUGAAUGGUUUGCCUGAGCAGGCCAUUUCGCCCAAACGGCCAUGCCCGACAUGCACUCCACCACCACUUCUUGUGUUCGUGUGCAUAGCGCUUGUGUAUGUUUGUUUAUUUGUAGAAAAUAUCAAGUAGACUUCAGUUUGCUAUUGGCCUUUUGCAGUGCACUUAGUAUAGAAGAGAAGACACCAUUUGUAGUGCAUUUUUGCUAAUUUCCAGGGACGAGAGAUUGUAACGGAAUUCAAUAUCAUGCAGUUCAGUAC